ACGCCUCUUCAACCUCCAGCAGAGACCAGCGCAGAUACGUAUCCACACCAACCCGGAAAAAUCUCCCAAUUUCGUUCGAUUUCGUGCCUCCUCUCUCACGGAAAGUCCAUCUAUAAAUACCACACAAUCUCCUCUGUUUCUGCCCCAAUAAUCCAGAAUUUGUGCGCCGCCAGGCUGUUAAAUUUGCUCGCCGGAGUUCAUCUCGGCCGCCAAUGACACUCAUUGAUUCUGGCGAAAACCCACAGCCAAGCGACGAACUUGUCUAUGAGCGAACCUCGCCGACCCCCGCGUCACCUCUGGCCGCCUCCACUCGAAGUUUGAAGAAGGGCCUGGGCACAUCGCUGUUACCAUCAGGUUCCCUGCGUCAUGCUGUUUGUCGUCGUCCACUUCACCGAGCCCGUAAACCACCGAAGCAGCAUCGACGAGGACACCCACGGGCAGCAGCACCGCCCACUUUCUCAGCAUGGUUGAGCUCUGCAGUUGUACGGAGAGAUACGAGUUUUGAUUGAGAGAAGAGCAGAAUUCUUCAGAUACCAAAAAGGCA